rnacentral:rRNA from 1 species
AUUGAACGCUGGCGGCAUGCUUUACACAUGCCAGUCGAACGGCAGCGCGGGCUUCGGCCUGGCGGCGAGUGGCGAACGGGUGAGUAAUGCAUCGGAACGUGCCCAGUAGUGGGGGAUAGCCCGGCGAAAGCCGGAUUAAUACCGCAUACGACCUGAGGGUGAAAGCGGGGGACCGAAAGGCCUCGCGCUAUUGGAGCGGCCGAUGUCGGAUUAGCUAGUUGGUGGGGUAAAGGCUUACCAAGGCGACGAUCCGUAGCUGGUCUGAGAGGACGACCAGCCACAGGGGGACUGAGACGCGGCCCAGACUCCUACGGGAGGCAGCAGUGGGGAAUUUUGGACAAGGGGGGCAAGCCUGACCCAGCCAUGCCGCGUGGGGGAAGAAGGCCUUCGGGUUGUAAAGCGGUUUUGUUGGGAAAAAAAACCUGGGGGUUAAUACCCCGGGGGGAUGACGGUACCGAAAAAAUAAGCACCGGCAAACUACGUG